UGUGGGAGCGGGCUUGCUCGCGAAAGCGGUGGAUCAGUUGGUUGAUAGUUGACUGAUACACCACCUUCGCGAGCAAGCCCGCUCCCACA
rnacentral:misc_RNA from 1 species